CCCUUAGAUGUUCUGGGCUGCACGCGCGCUACACUGAUGCGGUCAACGAGUUUUUCCUGACCCGAGAGGGCUGGGUAAUCUUGUUAAAUCGCAUCGUGAUGGGGAUAGAUUAUUGCAAUUAUUAAUCUUCAACGAGGAAUUCCUAGUAAGUGCGAGUCAUCAGCUCGUGCUGAUUACGUCCCUGCCCUUUGUACACACCGCCCGUCGCUCCUACCGAUUGGGUGAUCCGGUGAAUAAUUCGGACUGCAGCUUUCGGGGGCAACCCUGAUCGCAGCGGGAAGUUUGGUGAACCUUAUCACCUAGAGGAAGGAGAAGUCGUAACA
rnacentral:rRNA from 1 species